rnacentral:lncRNA from 1 species
GUUGCAGCUGAACACAAAAUAAUUACAAGCAGCGAAUGAUAUUAUCGCAUGCGAUAAAGUUAGAUAAAUUAUGCUGACAGAAUCAAAGCUUAGCUCAGCAAAGCUUAGCUGUUAAAUCAGCUGAUUGGGUGAAGCUUUCGUUGAUGACAGCUGUCAACAUAAGCUUUUAGAACACGGUUUUAGCACUUCCGAUCGCAUUUAAACGGGACGAGCCCCCAGAAAAAUUCUUCUUUUCGUCUAUCUAAAAUUCUGAUCGGUUCGUGACCCGUCCGAUAGUGAGUUAAUUUUUCGACCCACCACGUGUGUGUGAAAAAGUAAAAAGUUAAAAACCGAACGCCGUGCAGUGAAUAUAAAUAUCAGUGAAUUUAAAUUUCACCUGGCCUAGAGCCAUCCCAACGUUUUUGGGCGAGCGUGCAAUCCACGCAAUCCCAAACUUUUUGGACUGGCGUUCAAUCCACGCCAUCCACGACAGAAGAGAAAUAUAAUUAUCCACGGAAAUCCCGGAAAGAUUGGUAGGUCCAAUGUGGGAGAGACCCGAACAAAUGUUCUUAUAAUAGCUCUUGGCUGUAUUCCUUCCCCCCCCACAGGGCUUCGCUACGCUUUCCCCCCCACACUCAGCCAGAGCAGCAGCGCAUUGACGUUUUGUUGGCAAUACGCUGAGGGGUGGGGAAUUUUUCUUGGGAGACCGGUGGAAGCCCGGCUCCAGAACCUAUGUAACACCAUAGCCUGUAACUUCACAAUGACCAUGACGUAACCUUGCAGUAACCUCUGCGCAGGCGCCACAGCCGACAGUGUCGUACCGCUAAGAGGGCCACCAUUAUAUCUUAGGCUGCAAUCAAAGCCUAAAGCACUGUCUUUUAUUUUAAUAAUUAAUUAAAUUUAAAUUUUGUUAAUGCUAAUACUCUUUUCUAUUAUUAUAUUCUAUUUGAUUUAACGACCUUUAAUUCCCCCUUAAUUAUGUGACAUUAGUGAAAGAAGAAAGAAAGGAAAAAUAAGUUUGUAAGAGAAAAAAAAUAUUGAACUAUAACGUGCAGUCGGCCAAAGCCAACAGGGAACCAUAAUUAAUAUAUUCCACAGCUUCUUCAAAACCCCAGCGAAAGGCCUUUCAGCGAGGGAGUACUGUAAGCAUACAUACAUGCAUACCAAACUGUGAGUGAUAAAAGAUCAAAUUUUUUUUGUUCCCUUUUGGUGCGUUCUUCCCGCUAGACGAACCGACCAGCGCAUAAAAGUUUAUGCACUAGCGCCAGAGCUUUGUUGCUUUUGCUGCUAUUGUAAUUUGUGCACGCCAUGCAUUCCAUGCAGUUGCUUACAUGGAGAAACUAAAACGAAAAGUACACUAGCCAACAAAAAAAAAAUAUUUUUUUGUUUUCCUUCUUUUCUUUUUUUUUAACAUAUGCUUUUCAUUAUUAUAUUUAGUCCCAUUCAUUUAUAUUCCAUAUUCAAUAAUCGUAUCUUAAUUUAAUGUUACAUUUCACCUAUUAUAUUCAUACAUACAUUUACUUUUUCUUUGAUAUAUUUUUAUAAUUUUCUUUCCUACUUUAUAUUAUUUUCCUUUUUUUUAUUUGGGUAAAUUGACAUAAGUUGUUUCGAAAUCUAGUGUAAAAUCGAUACUUUUGGAUGUGUUUUGCGAUGUUGAAUAAAUUUAGCUAUAAGCGUUAAUAUGAACUCCUG